rnacentral:rRNA from 1 species
UACGUAGGGUGCGAGCGUUAAUCGGAAUUACUGGGCGUAAAGCGUGCGCAGGCGGUGAUGUAAGACAGAUGUGAAAUCCCCGGGCUCAGCCUGGGAACUGCAUUUGUGACUGCAUCGCUGGAGUGCGGCAGAGGGGGAUGGAAUUCCGCGUGUAGCAGUGAAAUGCGUAGAUAUGCGGAGGAACACCGAUGGCGAAGGCAAUCCCCUGGGCCUGCACUGACGCUCAUGCACGAAAGCGUGGGGAGCAAACAGG